ensembl:lncRNA
GGUAUGGGGAAGGGAGGCUAAAAUCCAACCCUCCUUUUGGAGAGUAACAGUCUCGAGUCUCUUAGACUCCGUCACGGGAGAUCUCAGGUGAGUUCUUCACUCCUCUUUCCUUCUGGCUAUGUGAUGACAAUCAGCUUAUUCACAAGUCCCCCUUUGUUCUGGCUUGCAGGACGACUGUCCAGGGCCCUCUCCUUUCCUGGACGUAACAGAUACAAGUGGUAAGUAUUGAGAGUUUGGAUGCACAAUGGAUACCUGCUACUUUUGACGAACUCCGAGGCGACCCAGCGGAUUAUACUCCCGGUCGUCCAGAUGCUGGGGGAACUGCCCAAGGGCUGCCGGGAUCCAACUAAAACCAUACUGGUAAGUGUACGGGAGGGGGUUUCCACGGUCUCUGUAUCCUGAGUGACGAGUCGACAUGCAGGUAGACGCUUCAAAGGGACCCGCUAGAUCUGCACAAGAGCAUAAAGGUAAGUGUAACAGGACUGGACACGGAUAGUGGACAGAGGGGCCGCUGGCUCUUCACUCGGGGGCACAAGUAAGUCCGUAGGAAAGACAACUGGGGUUUCACUUGAGCAUACAGGCGAGUGUACAACACAAUAUGCUGGCUUUAGCUUUGGGCAUAGGGUAAGUACAUCAAAUGUAACUGGGACUUCACUUGGGCAUACGCUUACGGUGAAUAUACAGGGAAACAGGAAGUGAUGUAACUCACAGACCUUCGAGGGAAUAGACGUCAGACGUUCCUUUUCUGAGGCUUCUACCAACUGCUGAUAGAGAGGCGGAUCGAAAACUGUUGCGUUGGGCCGAACACGGCCUCCGCUGGCGUCACACACAGGUAAGUUGUCUCACCCGGGGUGUACUACACUGGAUGGGUCGAACGCUUCCCUCUUCUUUCUACCAACCGACAAGUCAAGAGAUCUAGACAGGGGCGAACCUUUGAAGAACUCCACAGCAGGUAAUAAUACACGCACAGCUGAUUUCCUCCUACAGCAGCCAACUCCUCACCAUUAAUACUUCCCAAUAGAUCCACACUGUUCUUACUUGAAAUUGUUUCCCACCACCGUCACGUGGGGAAGAAGGGUCAGGAUGUCAUCGACGGCAUAUAAUUGGAGAUGUUUUCUUCGCCCGCCUCGGUAUUCACUUCCUUCACAGGAUUUCGUCGGGCCUGAAAGGUGGUUGUUGAUGACACAACACAGCACAACACUGCAAUUUUCAAGUGUAUACACUCACAGCAAAGGACAAAGACUCACCCACUGCACUCCACACACUCUGGUGAAUUUAGGGUCAACACCCCGUCUGACCAAAGACUCUUCCUGGAAGUCGUGAAGCCACGAAUAUUCAGAUUUAAACGUUGCCGCCACAACAGCCCAACAUCCUCUCUCGCUCACUGGUCCCGGCUCACCCACAAUCCUCCUCCACGGUGGGGCCGCUCACAUACUAUGCCACAAACUCACAAAACGCUCACAGAUGGUUCACUCUAGAUGAUUAUACUGCUGUACGAUGGUUUAGGGUACUCACACCGUUACUACACGAGGUCUCUUUUCCCUCUUCUUUCCAGCUCCUGGAUACUUCUCCUGCUGCCACGUGCCCUGUCGAAAAGGCCUCCUUCGGCGAUACUUCCGGUGAGUCUUCCUGUUUUCAACCACUCAGAAUUUGUUACACAUGUCCAUGGAGCAUUUCACAGUUACGUAGACAUUCCAAUAUACUCAGCCCGGUGUCUGUUUCUGCCAAACCCUUGUCUCCGUCUUUGCCCAGCCAACAAUAUCCUCUGCCUUCUUUCCUCUGUACUCGCCCAAACACUCCAACUCUCUCGCCGUAUCGGCUGAAAUAAAACAAAGAAC